rnacentral:rRNA from 1 species
UGUGAACUGCAGGACACAUGAACAUCGACAUUUCGAACGCACAUUACGGCCCUAGGACUUGUUCCUGGGCCACA